rnacentral:rRNA from 1 species
CAGCAGCCGCGGGAAUACAGAGGGUGCAAGCGUUAAUCGGAUUUACUGGGCGUAAAGCGUGCGUAGGCGGCUUCUUAAGUCGGAUGUGAAAUCCCUGAGCUUAACUUAGGAAUUGCAUUCGAUACUGGGAAGCUAGAGUAUGGGAGAGGAUGGUAGAAUUCCAGGUGUAGCGGUGAAAUGCGUAGAGAUCUGGAGGAAUACCGAUGGCGAAGGCAGCCAUCUGGCCUAAUACUGACGCUGAGGUACGAAAGCAUGGGAGCAAACAGGAUUAGAUACCCGCGUAGUCCCUGUCUCUUAUACC